AACUGGCUGAAACAAUGCGUGGAGACGGAAGACUGCAGCAAAAAGGUGGACGCGAAAGGGCAAACCGAUGGUCAGUUUUGCCCCCCUUUCUUCAUGUAUGAAACGAAGCUUGGCUACUGCGCCACCGUCGAGUUGGAAGCGAAGAAACAACCUGGAUGCAGUACAGGCGUGCGAGAGCCAGAUUCCAGGCUCUGUUCUUCGAGAAUUCUGCGGAAUUCAAGCAGAUUGGCCAGAUGAAGAAGGACAAGGAGACAUUUUUCUUCGGCGAUAAAGAGUACUGGCUGGACGCUUACUACGACGACAAGAGCGAGACUUGGAUCAGAAGGACACCGGGAAACCCAUUAUCUGGGAACUGAUCUUCUCGCAACUUGAUCCGAUCCCGGGCAUGACGACCAACAUCGAAGUCGUCCGGGAGAUUGACACGAAGCAGCGCUGUCUGACGGUCAUUUUCAACGACAAACACCCAGAGCUCUUGGAGGUUGCGAAGGCCAAGUGUUCCGACGAUAAGCUGAUUGCAUGCAAGCUAGGUUUUUAUACAAACAAAUGCCGGGAUAACAAAAAGAAUGUGUGCUGCUUUCUCCCACUUCUGACUACUACCUGAAGAACACUUACGGAGGUCCCGGCAGCACCAUUGGAGAGGCAGAUGCAAAUUGUUUCCUGGAGAUUAUCAAAGGAGCGACGACGGUCAUUGAGCCGUGUGAUAAAGUGCUAGCCACGCAUGGAAGCCACGGCCGACCCAACACGAAGCUG